GAACGGCAUCCGGAACUGUCAGGCUAGAGUGCAGGAGAGGAAGGUAGAAUUCCCGGUGUAGCGGUGAAAUGCGUAGAGAUCGGGAGGAAUACCAGUGGCGAAGGCGGCCUUCUGGACUGACACUGACACUGAGGUGCGAAAGCGUGGGUAGCAAACAGGAUUAGAUACCCUGGUAGUCCACGCCGUAAACGAUGUCGACCAGCCGUUGGGUGCCUAGCGCACUUUGUGGCGAAGUUAACGCGAUAAGUCGACCGCCUGGGGAGUACGGCCGCAAGGUUAAAACUCAAAUGAAUUGACGGGGGCCCGCACAAGCGGUGGAGCAUGUGGUUUAAUUCGAUGCAACGCGAAGAACCUUACCUACUCUUGACAUCCUGCGAAUUCGGUAGAGAUAC
rnacentral:rRNA from 1 species